rnacentral:lncRNA from 1 species
UCCCACGCAUUUAUUAAAAAUUAACUAUUUGCCCAAGGUUAAAUUGUAUGCGAUGGUCAUACGCCUAUUAGAUAAAGUGACCAAUUGGAGGCUGUUCCUUACUUCCACCCUCCAAGUCCCACAGUCCAUUGCAACAUCAGUGGCAGACUUUAGCUUAGCGGGCUUAGUUACUAAAUCUUACGCACGCUCUACGGAUAACUCCUUGCCUGCAUUGUCGAAAGAACAAUGUCCCCGAAAGUGCAUUAUUUAAUUUCGGUAUGAAACGGGGACAUAUAUAGCCAAUGGUAAUCUACGGCGCUAUUUAAAGAAAUCAUUGGUUAGUCAUGGCCGCACCGGGGGCUACACAAGGUGACGAGCAAGAAAAACAUGAAGAUGAAUUUCAGCAAAUGGUACGCCGUAUAGGUGGCAGGGAGAAGAUUUACGUGGUCGGAGAGGCUUGUAAAAGCGACGACGAUCAACGCAAUUCGUUGCAAACGUUCAUUGAUGAGAUGUUCAGCAGCGACUGUAAACACAGUCCUGACUCUGUAAGCAUGACUUUGAAUGACAACAUACGACCAAACACUGAACACCAGACUGAAAGUACCUUGAACGACGUGGCAGAUAUCAGAGACAUUGUACUUGCUACACAAGACAAGACUGCUCCAACUAUGGAUGAACAUGGACUUGGUCUUAAUGGUGACGUUCACAGGACGAUAAGGUCAAGCAGAAAUGCUACCGGAGCUGACAGAUUAAUUGACUCUGCCAUGAUAAUAUUUAUUUUCAAGUACGAAUAUAUCAGCAGCAAUUGUAACCAUGUCUGCAUCAAGGAAAUUAUGAAGGAUGUGAGAGCCCGCACGAAACACUCUCCAGUAUAUCCUGCUGUGAUUGGUUUGGUGCACUCCAUAGACGAGACUAGUGGGUCACUUAAAUCAGUUGAAGUUUUGGAACGUUUACUGCGCUCAGUGUUUCGAAAACAUUCCAGUGAAUCGAUAUGGGCUGGUCUUUUCAUUCCAAACACUGGGGAAAAAAUGUUGGCCAUCAAGAAACAUGCCAGCCACGCAGUUCACUCAUCUCUUUCAUCAGAUAAUGUGAGGAGAACAAAUAACAGUCUCUGGUCACUGAAAUGCUCAUCUUGGUGGGCUCAUCGAAGACGAUCCAGAGGUCAACAUAGCAGCACCUCUCGUAGUGCCAUGGAAACUGUUGAAGGUAUCCCACUAAAGUCGAGUCUUGCUGCAAGAGGACAUCAAGGAGAUUUUGCCAAUGGAAUUGGCUCAUCAGGGAUUUGAAACCAUCUGAUAUGUAGUAGCCUAUCUAAUCUCACUUGGAACAAUAAUUUCAGUGGCAAUUUUGGCACUUUAUGAUACAGAAUGGAUUGAACAUGAAUAAAUUGUAACAUCACAAAUUCA